GGGGAGGGAUGAUGAGUAACUCUCAUCAUCAUCAAACACACACACACACACACACCUGUCUCCAAUGUACACUUGCGUGUGUCCAUCCAUCCACAUUCUUUCUAUCGCUUUCAAUUCGGAGUCUCUUACACGGCAAGACUCCACAAGGACUCUUUCUCCUUGUCUCUGCCCAACACACUUGAUUGACCUGGUCUGGCUAGCAUCAAAGUAUUCACAAAGCUAAUCAAUGCUGAUACACUAUGGUUACACUCAUGCACACUUUGUACACAUACUGUAAGUCAGCAAUUGUUUUGUCUUAUGUUACUAGGGAAGCAAUGUUAAUUGCAGUAAUAACUCGUUAAUUUUUUUGCUCAUUUUCUCUCUUUAACUCUCUCACUGUCGUUGUCUCUUUCUCUCUGUGCAGAAAAUCCAGCAAUGCAAAGCCCUGUGGAUAACAUCAAUGCAGCGCCUCGGAUGGGAGUGAUUGGACUGACAUGGAUAAUCCUCACCUUCACAGUGACUGUGGAGAUGACGUGAACCCCCAUACACACACAUGCACCUACACACAAAUACCACCGCCACACACAUAAAUACACACACAUAUCUACACACACAUGCACACAAACACACACACACACACACACACACACACACACACACACACACACACACACACACAGAGUAUACUACAGCAGACCCUCCAAAUGUUCAUCAACCGUAGGAGAGAAGUUGGAGGGCAGGAAUGUUAUUCCACUCGUUUUUAUAUUAAACAAUACAUACAUAAAAAAAAACGUAUAAAGAUAUUAUAUAAUACACAUAUUAAGAGACAAACAUAAGAGAAGAAGAAAACAAGUGCUAUCUUUAAUAAACCCUGUGUCCCAUGCUAGCCCCAUCCUCCAAACAGACAUAUAUACAGUACACUUACAGUACAUACCCACACACACACACAUACACACACGUGCCCCACAACACACACAGGCACACAGAUACAUGCUUUUCUCAUUUUUGUUUGACUUGUUAGUUUUCUUCAUUAAUUUGUUUUUCCCUACUCUACCUGUGGAUCAAUACAACAAAAAAUCUUCUCUUUGAAAAAGAGCGCCUGGAGGAGCGCCUGAGUUUAUUCUGUGUGCUCAGACCGUGCUGUCGCUCAUGUGGAGGAGGACUGGACUAAAGAGAGAGAGAGAGAGAGAGAGAGAGACAGAAACAGAGGGAACGAGAGAGACCCUUCUGUUCUUUGGGCCAUGGCUCCUAACACCUCAUCACAGGUAUCCAUGGGAACAAAAUGGGGGAAACCUAGGAGACUUAUUUUUUUCUCUUUUGAGGGGCAUCCGUCUUCUCUUUUGAGGGGCAUCCGUUGACUUUUUUUGUUGUAUGGAAGAGAUUUUUUUGUUGUUGCCUCUCCAUUCUUUCUUUCUUUCUCCUCUGGAAUGGCUCAUGGCUGAAAUGUACAAGAAGUUAAAAAAAAAAAAAAACGAAAAAAAAAAAAAACUUAAGUCUUGUGAACUCUAGUGUGAUUUUU